UNCCAGAAACACGACUGGUGCUUUGCAUGG
rnacentral:piRNA from 1 species